rnacentral:misc_RNA from 1 species
AUUCAAUAUUGAGCUGUCAGGAUACCUUUGUAGUGGAGGAAAUGUUGGAUACUGACAGCUCAAUAUUGAAUGAGCGUGACAAGAAGGGAAACACAGCUUUGCAUAUAGCCACACGGAAAUGUCGCCCACAGAUUGUAAGCCUUCUCCUCAGUUACACAUCCCUUGAUGUCAAUGCAAUUAAUAAUCAAAAGGAAACUGCAAUGGACUUGGCAGACAAACUGCAAUAUGGAGACUCAGCGUUGUUAAUUAAGGAAGGUCUGACUGAGGCUGGUGCAAAACAUGCCAGAUUUGUGGGUCAAUUUGAUGAAGCAUCAGAACUUAAGAGGACCGUAAGUGACAUUAAGCAUGAGGUGCAAUCCCAGCUUAUACAAAAUGAAAAGACCCGAAGGCGUGUUUCUGGUAUUGCCAAAGAACUUAGGAAGAUUCAUAGGGAAGCUGUUCAGAAUACGAUUAACUCUGUGACCGUGGUUGCUGUUUUGUUUGCGUCUAUUGCUUUUCUGGCUAUAUUCAGCUUGCCAGGCCAAUAUGUGGAGACUGGACCUGAAGCAGGAAAGGCCAGAAUUGCUGAUACUGUUGCAUUCCGUGUGUUCUGCCUCCUGAAUGCAACUUCUCUCUUUAUAUCUCUCGCUGUUGUUGUUGUUCAGAUUACUCUGGUUGCCUGGGAUACUAGAGCUCAGAAACAAAUCGUCUCAGUCGUGAACAAGUUGAUGUGGGCAGCCUGCGUUAGUACCUGUGGAGCAUUCCUAGCUGUUGGUUUUGUUGUUGUAGGGAGGAAAAGUUCGUGGAUGGCAAUCACUAUUACUGUGCUUGGUGCACCAAUUCUCAUUGGAACUCUCGUUAGCUUGUGCUACUUUGUCUUCCGACAGCAUUUUGGCAUUUGUGGUAGCGAUUCUCAAAGGCGUAUCAGAAGAGCAAGUGGGAGCAAAUCUUUCUCAUGGUCUCACUCUGCAAAUAUCUCUGAUAUGGAUGACUACAACUCUGAUGACAGAAUUUAUGCUUUGUGAGACUGACGUUAUGCAAAUGUUCGAUCUAACUCUGAUAUGGAUGACUAAAACACGAGAAGACUGAAAGUAUAGUCAAACGCUGUUGAACCCUGUGCAUGUCACUGAGAAAGUGAAAGUGAUGUUGAGUCAUGAUACCUACACAGACAUCAGGUACUCGUUUUCAACACCAUGCACGAAAAUUUCCCUUUACUUUUUUGCUCAUAGUAUGAGUUAUGAUGAAUUAGCAAAAUCGAGAGCUCUGCUAGUUAGUUGUAUAGGUUUCGUGUUGCUUCAGUCCUUCAAGAUGUCCAUUUUACACAAGUAGUUUG